GUCUGUGUGAAUAAAAUAUUUAGUCUGGCCUGCCCACUGAGAAUUUAAAGGGCUGCGGUAAUUUGACCGUGCAAAGGUAGCAUAAUCAAUAGUCUCUUAAUUGGAGGCUUGAAUGAAGGGUUUGACGGAAAGAAAAGUGUCUCCCUGGUUUACAUUGAAAUUAACUUUUGUGUGAAAAGGCAUUAAUAGUUUAGUGGGACGAUAAGACCCUAUAAAACUUGACAUAUAUUAUACUGUUUCUUAGGACUGGUGCACUAAUUAUAGGAUGGUAAGGUGUGUUUUGCUGGGGCGGCAUGAAUAUAAUUUGUAACUGUUCGUUAUGUGAAAUAUAAUUUUAUAGAUAUUGGUCCUUCAUUGAGGAGGUAGAGUAAGUUACUUUAGGGAUAACAGCAUAAUUUUUCUUGAGAGUCCAUAUCAAAGGAAGUAGUUGUGACCUCGAUGUUGAAUUAAAUUUUCUUUCAGGUGUAGUAGUUUGGAAAGAGGGCCUGUUCGGCCCAUAGAUAUUUACAUGAUUUGAGUUCAAACCGGUGUGAG
rnacentral:rRNA from 1 species